ACUUUCAACAACGGAUCUCUUGGUUCUCGCAUCGAUGAAGAACGCAGCGAAAUGCGAUAAGUAAUAUGAAUUGCAGAUAUUCGUGAAUCAUCGAAUCUUUGAACGCACAUUGCGCCCUUUGGUAUUCCAAAGGGCAUGCCUGUUUGAGCGUCAUUUC
rnacentral:rRNA from 1 species